AGCAUUUCCUGCUGCUCUAUUACAUUGUCUGCCUACCUUUAAGUCAUCAGAAAUAAUCACCCCUAAACCUAAGACCAGGAUGCUUCAAUAGCGGCCUUCAGCUCUUCUGCAUUGUUUGGUCUCAUGUCUCUCAUCUUUCUCUUGGCAAUGCCCCAUAGAUUCUCUAUGGGGUUCAGGUCAGGCGAGUUUGCUGGCCAAUCAAGCACAGUACUCUCAC